ACAUCCAGAGAAUUUAGCAGAGAUGCUUUAGUGCCUUCGGGAACUCUGAGACAGGUGCUGCAUGGCUGUCGUCAGCUCGUGUUGUGAAAUGUUGGGUUAAGUCCCGNAACGAGCGCAACCCUUAUCCUUUGUUGCCAGCACGUAAUGGUGGGAACUCAAAGGAGACUGCCGGUGAUAACCGGAGGAAGGUGGGGAUGACGUCAAGUCAUCAUGGCCCUUACGAGUAGGGCUACACACGUGCUACAAUGGCGCAUACAAAGAGAAGCGACCUCGCGAGAGCAAGCGGACCUCAUAAAGUGCGUCGUAGUCCGGAUUGGAGUCUGCAACUCGACUCCAUGAAGUCGGAAUCGCUAGUAAUCGUAAAUCAGAAUGUUACGGUGAAUACGUUCCCGGGCCUUGUACACACCGCCCGUCACACCAUGGGAGUGGGUUGCAAAAGAAGUAGAUAGCUUAACCUUCGGGAGGGCGUUUACCACUUUGUGAUUCAUGACUGGGGUGAAGUCGUAACAAGGUAGGCGUAGUGCU
rnacentral:rRNA from 1 species